UUGUGGAGGAGGACGCCGAAGGUGGGGCUGAUGACUGGGGUGAAGUCGUAACAAGGUAGCCGUACCGGAAGGUGCGGCUGGAUCACCUCCUAACAGGGAGACAAAACUGAUUAUGAUGUCUGAUUAAAAUAUUAGGCCUUAAUCCUGUCACCUUAGGUCGAUCGGUACCUCAGAUUGAUAACUAGAAAAUGGGGAGUAAUUCUUAUAUUUAGUUUUUCAGUCUUAGUUCCUAAACUUGUCUAGGUCACACCCAACAAACUUUCUCCUGGGCUAUUAGCUCAGGCGGUUAGAGCGCACCCCUGAUAAGGGUGAGGUCCCUGGUUCAAGUCCAGGAUGGCCCAUUCGUUGUUGGGGGUAUAGCUCAGUUGGUAGAGCGCCUGCUUUGCAAGCAGGAUGUCAGCGGUUCGAGUCCGCUUACCUCCACUGAUCAACUACCUGAUAACUCAUAUGGAGAUUGUUAUUUGUUGAAUGUGAUUUAGAAGUUGUUCAUCUGAAUGAACCUAGCUUCCUAUCACCCUAUAUAAAGUAUGGCUGAUAAGACGCUGGGCUCACUGUUAUUCGAAAGAGUAUCAGUUUGAUUCAGCAGAACCUUGACAACUGCAUAGGAAAAUCUAGAAAAAUAAAGCAUCUCAUAGAUGCAUAGAAAAUUAUGUUCAGAAAUAUUGAAUGUAAUUUUACUAUGUUCAAUUCUUGAGUUAGAGCAUAAUUUGUUUUGCAUUUUAAUCUAAAUACAGAACAAAUUUAAUUGGUCAAGCUACAA
rnacentral:misc_RNA from 1 species